rnacentral:rRNA from 1 species
AGUGAACGCUGGCGGUAGGCCUAACACAUGCAAGUCGAACGGCAGCACAGUAAGAGCUUGCGCUUACGGGUGGCGAGUGGCGGACGGGUGAGGAAUACAUCGGAAUCUACUUUUUCGUGGGGGAUAACGAAGGGAAACUUACGCUAAUACCGCAUACGACCUACGGGUGAAAGCAUGGGAUCUUCUAACUUUGCGCGAUAGAAUGAGCCGAUUUCGCAUUAGCUAGUUGGGGGGGUAAAGGCACAGCAAGUCGACGAUCCGUAGCAGUUCUGAGAGUAUGAUCAGCCGCACUGGAACUGGGACACGGUCCCGCCUCCUACGGGAGGCACCACCCGGGAAUUUUGGACGAUGGGCGCAAGCCUGAUCCAGCCAUGCCCCGUGGGUUGAGCCGGCCUUCGCGUUGUAGAGCCCUUUUGUUGUGAAGGAAAAGCGGCAGGUUAAUACCCAGCUGUACUGCCGGUCCCCAAAGAAUAAGCCCCGGCUAACUUCGUG